rnacentral:rRNA from 1 species
CCGGAUUUAUUGGGUUUAAAGGGUGCGUAGGUGGCUUUUUAAGUCAGCGGUGAAAUUUUGCAGCUUAACUGUAACAGUGCCGUUGAUACUGGGGAGCUAGGAUUUGGUUGCUGUGGGUGGAAUGUGUGGUGUAGCGGUGAAAUGCUUAGAGACCACACAGAAUAUCGAUUGCGAAGGCAGCUCACAAAGCCAAGAUUGACGCUGAGGCACGAAAGUGUGGGGAUCAAACAGGAUUAGAUACCCUGGUAGUCCACACUGUAAACGAUGAUAACUCGCUGUCGGCGAUACACAGUCGGUGGCCAAGCGAAAGCGAUAAGUUAUCCACCUGGGGAGUACGACCGCAAGGUUGAAACUCAAAGGAAUUGACGGGGGCCCGCACAAGCGGAGGAACAUGUGGUUUAAUUCGAUGAUACGCGAGGAACCUUACC